GCCACUUCUUUAUGAAAAGAAUUACAGUUAACUGCUGCCCAGAAACAGUAUCAGAGCAAAGCUUUUGAUCUACUAGUGUGUGGGCGAUGUCAAAACCAAGAUGAAUUUUAAAGUUCACAUUGCUGUGCUCUUGUUUUGCUUCUCUGCUUUUGCUGAGGAAGGCACAGGAAGAUAUGAAGGACUAAAUAGAACUGGACAAUUACCAAGCUAUCCUGUGUGUGUUCAUUACAUCCUCAGACCAAUAUGUAUUUUGUAUUAUCGCCCUGUCUGUGGCAGUGACGGGAGAACCUACCGGAACAAGUGUGAGCUCUGCAGUUACUGCAGGGAACAUGACAUGAAUAUAAAGAUUGUAAAGGAAGGAGCAUGUUAAAGAUUGAGGAUACCACCAUCUGUCUUGUCUUGCACGACCUGGAAUCCUUCAGGCUUAUUAAUAUGUAAUCCUGCCAUGGUGCCAGAGGACAGACUAGAUUUCCUCCUGAGGUUCCUACAUUCUGAUGACUAUGUUCAUAUUGUACUAAUGCUAUCGUUUUAGUUUGUUUAAAAAAUAAAAUGGUUGUUUAAAUCA